rnacentral:rRNA from 1 species
ACAGAGUUAGCCGGUGCUUAUUCUGCGAGUAACGUCCACUAUCUCUAGGUAUUAACUAAAGUAGCCUCCUCCUCGCUUAAAGUGCUUUACAACCAUAAGGCCUUCUUCACACACGCGGCAUGGCUGGAUCAGGCUUGCGCCCAUUGUCCAAUAUUCCCCACUGCUGCCUCCCGUAG